GCUCGGACCACCAUACCGGGGGGGAAACACCCGGUCCCAUUCCGAACCCGGAAGUUAAGCCCCCCAGGGCCGAUGAUAGCCUCGCCCCGAGCGAGGUGAAAGUAGGUCGUGGUCCGGGCG
rnacentral:rRNA from 1 species